CAGUUACGACAUUUACAAGAAACGUGUGAUCUAUUGAGAAGAAUUAUAAGAAUAAUGUAUUUAAGUAAACGAUUACACGGACAGUUGCAAGGUGGUUCUAGAGAAAUAACCAAAGCUGCUCAAAGUUUAAAUGAAUUAGAUUAUGUUUGUGAAGGCGUUGAUUUAAGUGGUAUAGA